rnacentral:rRNA from 1 species
UGCCAGCAGCCGCGGUAAGACGGAGGGUCCUAGCGUUGUUCGGAAUGACUGGGCGUAAAGCGCGCGUAGGCGGCUAUUUAAGUCAGAUGUGAAAGUCCACGGCUCAACCGUGGAAGUGCAUUUGAAACUGGAUAGCUUGAGUAUUGGAGGGGGUAGAGGAAUUCCCGGUGUAGAGGUGAAAUUCGUAGAUAUCGGGAGGAAUACCGGUGGCGAAGGCGACUACCUGGCCAAAUACUGACGCUGAGGUGCGAAAGCGUGGGGAGCAAACAGGAUUAGAUA